GACGAACGCUGGCGGCGUGCUUAACACAUGCAAGUCGAACGGAAAGGCCCUGCUUUUGUGGGGUGCUCGAGUGGCGAACGGGUGAGUAACACGUGAGUAACCUGCCCUUGACUUUGGGAUAACUUCAGGAAACUGGGGCUAAUACCGGAUAGGAGCUCCUGCUGCAUGGUGGGGGUUGGAAAGUUUCGGCGGUUGGGGAUGGACUCGCGGCUUAUCAGCUUGUUGGUGGGGUAGUGGCUUACCAAGGCUUUGACGGGUAGCCGGCCUGAGAGGGUGACCGGGCACCUGGGGACUGAGAGACGGACCAGAGUCCUACGGGAGGCAGCAGUGGGGAAUAUUGCACAAUGGGCGGAAGUGUGAUGCAGCAACGCCGCGUGCGGGAUGACGGCCUUCGGGUUGUAAACCGCUUUCGCCUGUGACGAAGCGUGAGUGACGGUAAUGGGUAAAGAAGCACCGGCUAACUACGUG
rnacentral:rRNA from 1 species